GAAGUAAAUUUGAUAUUUGAAAAAUACGCUUUAUGGACUUUCAUUUGAUAUGCGACAACCUAACCAUGUAAGAAGUUCUAUUUUUGCACUAAAUGACCCAACCCUUCUAAGGGGAUGAAAAAGGGGGGGUUGAAAUUUUCAUUUUUGAGUAGAGGGCAUUUAGACGUUCAAUUUGAUAUACCAAAUGACCCCAUUUGGCAAAGUAAAAAAAUUGAUGCAAUAUCAAUUGUAUAAAUAGAACUUAUGAAACUUACAAAGUCAAUGUAAAACAUGAAAAUUUCAAAUUGAUUUUUUUUUUAGGUUUAUCAUUGAAUGUUUUUGGUAAUUAGUCAAACACAUAACCAUGUUAAACUCUUCAAUUUCUGAAAAUUUCAGGUGGUAAGCUGUUGUUGAUUCAGAAAUACAUGCCUCCGCUCGCAAAAUUUCAAACUGCAUUAUCUCUAAAACGACAAUAGAUAUCUCAAAUCUGUUAAAUGAUAAAUGAUCUGCAGUUGAAGGGCAACUUUGUAUAAAAAAAUUUGGGACAAUUCCAAAGUUCAUCAAAGUCACAAUGAAUCAUCAAAUAUAUAAUGCAAUACCAAACUUGAGAACCGGAAGUCGUAGAGACAUGGGAAUACCACCAUUCAACUCAAGACAACUUGACCUUUCAAAUGUCACAAUGUCAAGGUCAUAGUACACUUUGAAGGUCAAGGUAAAAUUUCAUCAUGACCUGACAUUGACCUCAAAUUGAAGGUCUUACAAUACUGAUCAUUUUUGCAAUUUAUAGUAGGUUUAUAUCUGUUACCUUUAAAAAGAUAUAUACACAAUACUAUACUUUUAAGAAUUAUCUCGUCGUAACUUUUGAACAGACGGUCGGACAUUUUUAAGUUUAAUGUAUAAAAUGUAGAGCUCGUCGAGAGGAACAUUUUAUACACAGUAUGUAUGCAGCAAACUCUUAUCGUUUUCUUAAUAUGUAAGCUUGAAAUUGCAGUGUAAUUUUUUUUUGCACUCGGUGACCUUUGACCUUGGUUGCAAAGUGAAGGUCACAUGAACUUAAGAUUAUUGGUGUAGGUCCCAAGUCUCUACGACUUCCGGUUCUCGAAAUACAA